rnacentral:lncRNA from 1 species
AAAAAGUUUGCUGACUUUGUGCCAGAGUCAAAGAUGCUUGUCAGUCAACGAUGCUUCCCGAAACUGCCUUAAAAUUCACAUUCCUCCUUGCUGGGAUCCAAAGGCCAAAAGAGCUCUGAUGAAUAGAGAAGUUCAGGAUUGGAAGGAGGCGUUAGUGGGCAUCCAGAGCAAUUACUCAUUUGAGGCCAGCAUCUCCCAAGGGUACCUCCUCAAGAGAUCCUCUGGUGGUGGAGGCACAUCAUUUCCUGAAGCAGCCAACUCACCUUCUUUGGGAAGUUCUGGCUGUUGGAAAAUGACUUCUUACCCUGAGCUAAAAUCUGGUGGGCAGAAAAAAUUGUUCAAAUUUUAUUAUUCAUGGUCCCAUUUCCAGCCUUUGGAGGAAGAAGACUCCAUCACCAGCCAGGUGGGCCAUGCUGCCUGCCUUGUGUGGAGCAGCGUGAUGAGCGGGGAGGAGAUCUGCACAAGUUGGAGCACUCUGCGUGGGAAAAGGUGCUGGAUGCCCUAGAGAGAAAGAUCCUGAGAAGGAAUGCUGGAGGGGCAUGGCUGGACAGGGAUGCGGCGGGAGAGGAGCUGCAGAUGAAACUCAGGCUUUGGAAAGCAAAACAAACAAUCAAACAAAUAAAGAGAGAGCGGAUUAUGGACCUCCAUCAAUGGUGCCAAAGGAAAAAAAAAGCUAACAGGGGAAGGAAUAUAAGAAGAUGCCCUAAAAUGUUCAUGGUUCUUUUUAGAUGGAGAGAUUAUGCAGAAGGAUAAAGAAUAGUUUCUCGCGGCUGGCCCCAUGGCCGAGUGGUUAAGUUCGCGUGCUCCACUGCAGGCAGCCCAGUGUUUCGUUGGUUCGGAUCCUGGGCGCAGACAUGGCACUGCUCAUCAAACCAUGCUGAGGCUGCGUCCCACAUGCCACAACUAGAAGGACCCACAACGAAGAAUAUACAGCUAUGUACUGGGGGUCUUUGGGGAGAAAAAGGAAAAAAAAAAUCUUUAAAAAAAAAAAAGAAUAGUUUCUCUCUUCUUUUCUCUCUCUCUUUCACUCUUCCUUUCUUCUUCUCUUUAUUCCUCUUCUAUUUUGCUCAUAUGAGUUUCCUUUCUUUUCCUGCAAUAAAUCUGAGUUACUUUAUGAAUUAAAAGCA